rnacentral:rRNA from 1 species
UACGGGGGGAGCAAGCGUUGUUCGGAUUUACUGGGCGUAAAGGGCGCGUAGGCGGCCACUGCAAGUCGGUUGUGAAAUCUCCGGGCUUAACCCGGAAAGGUCAACCGAUACUGCAGGGCUAGAGUGCAGAAGGGGCAACUGGAAUUCUCGGUGUAGCGGUGAAAUGCGUAGAUAUCGAGAGGAACACCUGCGGCGAAGGCGGCCACCUGGACCAGCACUGACACUGAGGCACGAAAGCGUGGGGAGCAAACAGG